GGAGUGUAGCACGCUACACUGAUGCCAGCCUUAGCCGACAAGCCCGAGUAAUCUCUGAAAUUUCAUCGUAAUGAGGAUAGAUCAUUGCAAUUGUUGGUCUUCAACGAGGAAUUCCUAGUAAAUGCGAGUCAUCAGCUCGCAUUGACUUC
rnacentral:ncRNA from 1 species